CCUACGGGCGGCAGCAGUGAGGAAUAUUGGUCAAUGGCCGGAAGGCUGAACCAGCCAUGCCGCGUGAAGGUCAGUGCCCUAUGGGCGUUAAACUUCUUUUGUGCGGGAGCAAUAAUGGUCACGUGUGGCCAGACGAGAGUACCGUACGAAUAAGCAACGGCUAACUCCGUGCCAGCAGCCGCGGUAAUACGGGGGAUGCGAGCGUUAUCCGGAUUUAUUGGGGUUAAAGGGUGCGUAGGCUGUGAGGUAAGUCAGCGGUGAAAUGCCCCCGCUCAACGGGGUGAAGUGCCAUUGAUACUGCCUUGCUGGAAUGCGGAUGCCGUGGGAGGAAUGUGUGGUGUAGCGGUGAAAUGCAUAGAUAUCACACAGAACACCGAUUGCGAAGGCAUCUCACGAAUCCGCGAUUGACGCUGAUGCACGAAAGCGUGGGUAUCAAACAGGAUUAGAUACCCCAGUAGUC
rnacentral:rRNA from 1 species